CUCACUUUCGCUUGCUGCCGGGAGAGGAGUGGGUGUGCUUUCCAAGCCGUGUGCCUUCAUCAGUCCUGAGUGAACUUUAGUAAGACUGGCAAUCCAAGGCUUGUGUGCCAGCAGCUUUGAUGGUGGAAAGGAUGCUUCUGAGUUAAGUAUAGUGGUCCCUGGUAAAGGUGUCUUUUCACUCUCCCUUUCAUGGUGUUUGUUGCUGUUGUUGUAGUUUGUUUGUUUUGGUUUCUUUUCCCCCUCAUUUUUAUUUGCAGGACAGUAAUGUUUUGAACCAAGGAAAAUCCACAUGGAAGUCUUUAUGUCAGACAAGAAUGCAGGUAUUACU